rnacentral:rRNA from 1 species
AUACAUGCAAGUCGGACGGGAUUGAAGAGCUGCUUUUCAUGAGAGGGGCGCACGGGUGCGUAACACGUAUGUAACCUACCUUCUUCAGGGGGAUAGCCUCCUCGAAAGAGAGAUUAAGACCGCAUAAAAUCACAAUGUGGCAUCACAAAAUGAUCAAAUAUUUAUAGGAAGAAGAUGGGCAUGCGGAACAUUAGCUAGUUGGUAAGGUAACGGCUUACCAAGGCUACGAUGUUUAGGGGAUCUGAGAGGAUGACCCCCCACACUGGUACUGAGACACGGACCAGACUCCUACGGGAGGCAGCAGUAAGGAAUAUUGGUCAAUGGGCGGAAGCCUGAACCAGCCAUGCCGCGUGCAGGAAGACGGCCCUAUGGGUUGUAAACUGCUUUUACAGGGGAAUAAACCUCGCUACGUGUAGUGAGCUGAAUGUACUCUGAGAAUAAGGAUCGGCUAACUCCGUGCCAGCAGCCGCGGUAAU